UUCAAUUCAUUUUUGUACACAUUUAGCUAGUUAGGCGCACUAGUUUGCAACAGUGUAUUUCUGCUUUAUAUGGCAGUUAUUUGCAUGCCUUAUUAUAGUUGCCUCAUUGUUCAGCAUAAUUCAGAAAAUUAUAGCCAACUUUAGAAAAGGUGCAAGGCAGAGCUGGUAAUUUUUCAAAAAUGCUGAACAGUGUGGUUAUAUGGUAUUAUUGGAGUGAUUGCUUUAAUGUUGUAUGACAUUAAAUAAUCAAUCUUGCAGAAUAACAUUUGCAAAGGCUAAAAUAUUUUCAGUGUCUAGUAUCUGUAUCGCGAUUAAUCUUUAAUUUCCGUUCUGGUAUUGUGUGUUGUCUUUCAAUUCCCAUUGUGAAGGGCAGUUUAUGGGGGGGAUAAAUAGCAAUCUUCUAUUUUUGUCAGUUUUUUAGUGGCUUGCAAGGGGAAACUGCUUUUCAGGGUGUCUACCUGGUCGGAGUGGUGGAUUUUCUCCGGGCAGCACCUUCGACCCAUCCUCGCGGCCUACUAGCGGGCCUGGAGCGGCAUUUCCUGUCUGGACUGGCCAGAACCUCGGCUUUGGCGGCGGCACAGCGCUGGAGCGCUAUCGCGGACCGGACCGGCUGGUGCUUUGCCCGGGUCGCCGCGCUGGAACUCUGGUGAGCUGAGACCACGGAUAAAAAACCAUCGCGGAGCUGCGGGUCUGGAGCGUCCAGCCACGGGCGGCGGCGCUGAACUUUACAUCGGGAGCCUGGGAUCUCUCGCCGAGAUAGCCAGUGGUGGAGCUCCAUCCAGCGUGGCCUGUCGGCUUCGGAAGCCGCGGUCUCCGGUAAGGAAGCGGCUGUUCCAGGUUUCCCAUGCCGCUAUGAGGAUUCUCACAACGCUGGAGCACCAUCACCCGGCGAGAAGGGCCUCCGUAAAGGCGACUGCGGAGGCCUCAAUAGGCCCGACUAUGGGUGGACAUGGCGAUGGGGACUGGACAUUGUGCCUUCCCCUCAUAAUGGGAACCAUUGUGGGGGGGAUGGUUUUUAUGUUUAAAUUUCUUUAUUAUUGUUAUGUCUGUAUUUUUUAUUUAAAAAAUUUUUUUAAUGUGCUGCAUUGGCAAUAAGCAUUUCACUAUACCAAUUGGUGUAUGUGACUAAUAAAGAACCUUUGAAUAUUAAUAAAAAAAUUAUACCUAGUAUUAAACUGGGAAAAUUAAUUCCCAAAUUCUAUUCUGCAAGUGGGAGUAGCAUCUAUUAACGAGAAUGUAAAUUGUUGUGAAAUUUAAAAAUCCAUAUGAAUUCUUCAUAUGCCCACGCAGAUAUUUGCCAGAAAGGCAACUUGAUUUGGAGAUGAAUUAUUUUACAAGUUGAACCUUUCAACAUGACUGUUUACAUUUUUAAUAAAUCUGUUUGCAAAUCACUUUGCCAUAUCUAAA